rnacentral:misc_RNA from 1 species
AAAAAAAAAAGAUAAUAAUAAGUUGUUGCCGUUUAGCUGCAGAGUGUAUUAGUGGCGCUUUCUGGCCUGUAACAAGAGCAGUUAGCCCAUACUGUUAAUAUAGCGUAGGUCAUUGAUCCUCCAUUGUAUACUGCUUCCAUGAUUUGAGAAAUCCAGUAGUUUUCACCUCUGCUUGUUGCAGUUAUACUAUGCCUCUGUUACACUGUUUAUAGUUGAACUUUUCAGAGCACUAAAACUAUGGUUUAACGCACCUAUUGACAUCCCCUUCAAAGGAUUUACGAGUUACGUUCCCUUGAGAUGAUGAAUAAAUAAAAUGUAUAACGAUGUGCGUAAAACCAUAGUU